GUUGCCAGAAGAGAGCCCAAACAACCAGUACUUCAUAACCGAUACAAAUCGCUAAUAACUCGUGGGAUUUAUGAACCCUAUAAGCAUACUUCCAUCAGUAAUGUUUGAAGGAACAAACCGAUCUGCUUGCAAUUAUGUAUAAAGCCAACAAAUGCUCCUAUAGAUAAGGUGGAUGACAAGACAGCAGGAAACAAGAAUGGACUAAGACAACCUGUCCAUUAACGAGAACGACACAACCUUGAACCACGCCAACAAAUCCUUGGACUCACAGUAAAACAACAAAACACGCACUGCAACAUAAAGGAAAGAUCGCACCAGCAAAGCUCAACAACCAAGGACCUUACCAAAAUAUUCAGUGUCCACUCAUCAUUCGAGAUAAAAGACAUGGCCGUCAAAAAUGUAGGUAGGUGGAAAUAGUUAAUUCAACCAAUAAUAUGACAAGGUAUAUCAUCCAUACGCCUUGGUUAAUAUCAUAAAAGUGCAACCACGUAACCAACAAAAAUGAGUUCACACUGUCAAUUAUUCAAAAGCAAACAUGAUACAGUCUGCAGCAUGAUAAGAACUUUAAAAAGGUUUCACAUUAGAGGAUACCGCAACACAUCUCUAAACAACUCCUUUGGUAUUUCAACCUCAGUACCUGUGGGCUAGCUUCUCCCUCUCCUGAUAAUACUGAACAUAACUGCAUGUGCAGAUAACAAUCCAGAUAAGAAUUUUAGUGCACCAAGAAAAAAAACCGUCAUUAACCAGCUCAAGACUUUAAUAAAGUAGAAAAAACACCCUCCUGGAACUGAAUGAAUAAUUUUUUAUUUCAAAAAAAGAAAAAUGAAUAAUGGAAAUGAAUACAGGCAACCUGACAUUGAUAUCGAGCUAGUAUACAUUAAUAACAAUUUUAAAAUAAAAAAAAUAAUUGUCAUGUUCGGCUUGCUUUCUUCAUAUGAUCUGCAAAAACCAUAUAAAUAAGCAGUUGAAAGAAAGAAAUAUUGCAGCAAAUAUGGGAAGACAAGGCACGACAGCUGCAGGAUAGUCAUGUUUCCAGUCUUAGCUCUUGCAUCGGGCUACCCAGGCCUUGGGGCAGUUGUGAUUAGAAGCAACUUUACAUGGAAUGGUAUACUUUUUAUAACUACUACACUUCCUCAGAAAACCAUAUUGCAUGGACACAGUCGUCUUUUAUCAGCUCAUGAGUUUUUGUGGAAGAAACUUGCCAUUGGUGUAGUCUACUCCAACUUGAUUCUUUCCUUUCUGUUUAUCAGAAAGGGGUGGAACUCAAAGCCAGUACAUUAUUCAGAAUUUAACCCCAAAAGGAGGAGGUUGAAAGAUAUCUAAUGACGGGACCACAGCCUGUAACUUCCAACCCUCAACCUAAUCUCCAUGAAGUUACAGUUACCUCCAAAAACCACCCUCGCAUAAAAAGAAGGUGCUAGAUGGAACCAUCAACAGAAACAUCAUGUAACUCUCCAGACUACUGCAUGUGCUCUCAAUAGAAAUCACAUCACCCUACUCAAAAGGCAAUUCCAUCUAUAAAGCACCCAUCCAAUGUUCACACAAUCAAAAAGCAAUCAUCAGUAAAAUUCUCAGUUAAACCCCAUUUUUUUUCUUUUUUUUUUCGCAGGCACUUACAACUGAUCAUCCAGCCUCCUGAUCACCACCUUCGCUCAUCCUACCAAAAACCAAGCAAAGAAGCUCUUUCACAUGCAAUCUUAAACAUCAAUAAUUCCAUUUUACUUCUAAAGACCACCACCGCUUAACAUCAUCAUCAUCAUCAUCAACAACAACAACAACAACAAAUCCUCAUACUACAGUCCAUCAAUUUCUUUGUUGUUAAAUCAUAUGAUUCACAAUCCAAAUCUCGCAAUCCAGAUUAAAAUGGAAAUAAAACCAAAAGGAUCUUCUCCUUGAUUGGAAUCAACUAGAAUGACAGGAUCCAGAACCAUAUCAUCUCGAUGAUACGGUCCUUUGAAUCAUAAGAUCCAACUUGAUCCUGCUAUUUAUAUGUUAAAUCAUGCAGACUUUCAUUUUGAUAAUUUAUCUGACUAUAUGGAUUUCAAAAUUACUUAUCAUCCACAAGUCUUGACUCUCGAGUAGCAAAAUCAAGAAGACUGUUGUUCAAGAUCAUAGAAUUGAAAAUAUAAGGCAGAUUUUCAUAUUUUUGCAACCAAUUUUAAAAAAAAUUGUCAUUUUCCUUAAAACAAUUGAGCUAAUAGGAUAAUUAAAUUAAUAGGUAAUGUAUAAAUACCAAACAUGAUGUUUAUUUCAUUAGAAAAGCUAAAAAUGAGUUUAUGAUGGUGGAAACCACCUUUCUUGUAUGUAUAGCUUUUUUUCCCCAUUCAUCUACUUUGUAUUUGACACAUAUUUUAACAUUUCUUUUAUAAAUUAGUUUUACAACAUAAAAAAUAAACUCAAUAACUCAUCAUAUGCAAUCCAACCCAAGAGCUGAUCCAAUCUAACCCACUUUAUAAUUUAUGACUCAUUACAACCUCAAGAUUGUCAAGAGUAAAACAGCACCCUUAGGGCAAUAGAACACCCAUGUCACCCACGGCACUGGAUACCAAAUAGAUCUUGCCUUGACAAAGUUCAAAAAAAAAAAGCAUUAGAAAUAAAUAUUAUUUGUAUUUAAAAAACAUUAUUAAAAACAAUACGAACAUCAAAAGAUUAAUCAUUCAAGUCCCAACAUCCUUUUCAGAAUCACCUCGAACAUCAAGUCUCAUGUUCAACAUCUUUCACCAUAUUGUAUCAAAGUACCACUUCUGAUAAUAUGUUUUUAAACAAAAGUGCGCAAAAAUAAACCACUGGACAUCCUGAACUAGCUUCAGGAUUCAAACAGGACAGCAAAAUACCACUUCAAAAAAUAUGGUUGAUGUUUCUAGACCAUGCAUAACACAAAACAGUGAAUCAGUGAACAUCUAAGACUAGCCCUUUAUUUAUAAGAGACUCUAACAGACCAAAUAACCCGGAAAAUAAAGCUUACAAAACUCUAAAAAAUAAGCAAAAGAGAGAUAGAAAAAAUAAUGAUCGACAUUGGAGAGGGGGAUGCCUCAAAGCCUCUCAUUGUCUUGAACAUUGGCUUCGGCGUAGCCUCAGCAAACAUGUCAUGCUUCUGACCAAGAAGGCACUCUAGGGUUUCCUCACAUCACCUGAGUGCUUGUGUGAGUGGCUGAAGCAUUUUCCAUCACCACCUUCUGAGAUCUCUCACUAAACACAUUAGGAACAAAAAUAACCAGAAAGAGAUAACUUGGGUCCUCUUGCUCCCAGCCUUACUCGCUACCAGAGCAACUACUAAAGAAUCUAUAAAUGAAAAAUAAAAAAAAGUAAUAUGCACCAUGUAUCCAGCGAAAUUUGCACUUUAAUUCCUAUCAUCCCCAUAAAUUUAUUUCUUAGUCCAACUACACCAUUUUGCCCACUUUUUCCAUAUAAACCUUAUAUAUAUACAUAAUAAUCCAUGAUAUGCUAAACAAACGAGCCCACAAGCUACUAAAAAUAUUUGUAGUAUGAUAUAACAGUUGCAGUAUGCGAGUGAUCAAAGGACCGCAAACUGGCAACAUAUGCAGAUGCAUAUGCAAUUACUGUUUGUUAGAUAUUUAAAAAAAUAAAAUAUAUUAAGUACACUAAAAAUAACAAUAAUGAAAGUAAACUUUUAUGGAUGGAUAAUAGCAAUACUGAUAACAACUAACACUUAGUAUCUAACAUCCAACAGCAAUAACUAUAAUAUAAUCAACGUUUUAGUGCGAUCAAUAUCCGUAUCAGGCUUACCAUAUAGACUGACAUCAAAGCUACCACCAGCUUGAACCCACUUCACCUACAUGCGCCCCCAUAAAAGUGGGUGUAUAUGUAACUCCAAAAUGCUAAGUGGGCUCACAAAUGUAGUAAUAUGAUCUUAAGCAGACAACAUAUGCUAAAUUGUCUAUCUUUUUGGUCCAUAUGCGAUAUAACCGCAUACUAUACCAUAUAAGUGCAAUGUUGUGUGGGACCGCAUAAGCACAUGCGGCAUUUUAAAACACUGAUAUUUAUAUCCUGGAAAACACAGUCCGAAUUAUGAGGCUACAAAAGAUAUUGUUAAACAAUAAAUCCACAUUAGGAAUCAUGGAUAUUUUAAACUGCAUAUCAUAUCCAUAUCAACAAUGUAUCAAAUAACAGUACACAUUGGAUACUUCUUAAAAACAUGUUGGAUACACAUGUUAAGUAUCCUAUUUUUAAAAUAUAGAAAAAGACUAUGGAUACUUCUCGGAUACACUCAAUAUAUUUCUCUUCCUCAUAUGAGAUUGCAUAUCUUCCUCAAUGGAAAUGGUGGCCGACUAUAAAGCUUGUCUAUGUGAACUGUGAGUUUCAGAUGUCUAUUCAUUGGUCUCCAACUUAUUAAAAAUUUAAAGUGAUAUUUGAAUUUGAAAAUAUUUUCUUUAAAGUGGAGCAGAUAUCAUGUACAUUUCCUCGAAACUUCAAUGUCCCAACUCCAACCCCAACAAGAAGAUAAAAAAACAUGAAUACAUCUUGACACAAUCUCUUGACCAUUGAGUCACAAAGCACAAACUACAACUAAUGCUCAAGGAUUUUCAUUGUUAUCUUGACAAUCAAGGUUAGCCUUUCAACUUAUCUGCAUAAAUUGUUUUUAUAUCAAUCCACCUUACCCACUCAAGUAUUCUACUAGAACAAGAAUUUUAGAAAAAUAAAAAUAAUGUCGAAUAUAUCAGUGAUGCAAAAGAAAUCACCUUAUUUUAGACAUCUCUUUUUAUUUUCCAUUUAUAUUCCUAUUAUCAAUGAUAUUUUAACUAUAUCUAUUUCUAACUGAUGCCUCAACAUAAUGCCAAAAGUUCUUGCAAUCAAAUAGACAAAAGUUAAACAAUGAUCUCAUCAAUCAUGGUUUGUUGGCUUACAUUCAGCACCUGAAGGUAUCUAAACAUCUAGUUUUAUCCAAAAAAUUAGUUUAUGAUAUCAUUCGUGCAACCUUGCCCAUGUCCGAGAUUGUUGCAGCAUUAAGUAGAAAUGUUUCUUCCCAAAAUCUCAACACGCGUGACAACCUAAAUAUUCAGCAAUGAAACAGUAACAACAACCAUAUCUCAUAUCUGAAUGUGAGAGGAAAUUGUACAUAUUGUUCGACAAAGCUUCAUUAUCAGUAAAUAAUCUUUCCAUUCUUCAGAAGAGUUACAUAGACAGCUUUCAAGAAUAGAAAGAUCAACCCAAUUUUAAGCCCCGGCAACCAUUUAUUUCUCAUUCUCUAACUAUUCCAAAGCACUAACACACAAAUACAACAUCACAUGCCUUCCAAAACAUAUCAACUCUUUCCUUGUUCUCUAUGUUGGUAUAUAGUACCUGGUCCGCCCCUGAUGCAAUGGCAGUUUUGGGUGGUUACUAAAAGUAACCACUCAACCCCAUUUUAAAAAGAAAAAAAAAACUGCAAGGGAUAAAAAGAUACAUUCUGAAGAAAAAAAAGAACAAAGAGAACUCUCCUCCUUUCCUAGAAGUCAAGAGACUCUUCAUUACUCCAUUAUUUCUCAAAGGCUCUUAGAUUGUGAAAAAUUGGUGUCUUCAUGCUGAUCACACUAUGGAAUAGCCGGUAAAACAACCAGAGAUCCGUUUCAACCAAAAAUCUGUAAGUUAGGGUUUGAUUUAGAAUUUUAAUUUCAUUCUUCAUUGGUAUCAGAGACAGAUUAGGUUAUUUUCUAGCAUGAUUUAAUAUGUUAAUAACUGAUUAUUAAAUAAUUUUUGUGAUUAAUUGAUUGUUUGCACAUAUUUUUGUACUAUAUUGAAAAAUUCAUAUCUUAUUGUACAUUAUAAAUUAGGACAUGGAUUUUUGUAUGGAAACAGUAUAUGAUGUGUGGUUUAUGCUUGCAAAAUUUCAUAGUAAUCGAACAAGCCGUCUGAGAGAAAUUGAUGUUUCAAAUUUUUGAAACCAUAACUUUAAAAGGGCAUAAUUAAAAAUCAGUUCAGUUUCAGAUUUCGAAAUUUAUAUGGUUGGAAAGAGCAUGUAAAGAGCUUUAAAUCCAUAUAUAAUUCGAAAUUUUUGGACAUUGGUAGAAGGAGAUAUUAAAGAUUGAAAAUCAGGAUCUAAAAUGAAUAAAAUCUGAAAAACAUUGGAGAUUUUCUGAGGUUCAAAAAGACAGCCAUUGUGCUACCCAUCACAUGUGACGGUGGGCCUCGGAAGAAAACCCACGGUGGGAAGACUCUUCCCACUGAAUAAAAAAAAAAGUUGGUGGCUCUUCCAACUUAAUAAAAAAAAAAUCAAAUCAAAGAAGAAAAGCCCUUGUUGGGAAGGCUCUUCGUGGGAUUUGAACCCACGCCCUCCAGGAUCGGAGCCUAAAACCAAUGCCUUUGACCACUCAGCCAAAAUGUAGUCAUGUUGAGCAUGGAACCCAAUGUUUACAUGAUUGAGCAUGACAAGACAAUCAAUGAAAAGAAACAAAACAUUAUAUUUAUAGGAUAUGUUAUGAAUGAGGACCAAAGAUUCUCAACAUUACGAGCUACUCUACCUGACCUUUGGUGUUCUAAUACCAAUGAAAAAUGAAAUUAAAAUGCUAAAUGAAACCCUAACUUAUAGGUGUCUAGUCCAAACGGAUCUCUGGUUGCUUUACCGACUAGUCUAUAAUGUAAUCAACGUGAAAACACUAAUUUUUCACAGUCUAAAAACCUCCGAGAAACAAUAGAGGAAUCGAGAGAGUCUCUUGAAUUAUAGAAAAGGAGGAGAGUUCUCUUUGUUCUGUUUUUUCUUCAAAAUAUAUCUUUCCUUCCCUUGCAAAUUUUUUCUUUUAAAGGGGGUUAGGUGGUUGCUAAAAGUAACCACCCAAAACUGCCAUUACAUCAAGGGCAAAUUAAGUCCCAUACACCAACAUCUCCCACUCACACAUGAUGGACUCGACUCAUCUCUAUCCAUAUCUCUCAUCCAUUCAUAUUAGGCAAAUAGACCGUGCAACCAAUAAGUAUUCAAGAGCUUAUUUAUCAUAUACCUAUUAGGGAUACAGCUCAUUGCUAAGAGAUCAGCAUACUUGCCAUAUCCCAGAAUAAUUUUGUUAUAUCAAUCGUAAUAUUUUCGAUCCCUCCAUUAACAAUAGGGAGUAUGUCUGACCUUUUUCACUAUCAUAUAUUCAUAAUUAUGUUCUUCUCUCUCAUGGAUGAUAUAACUGAUCGAUCGGUUAAUACAAAUAUGGAUGUAGAAUAAAAAUAUAGUCUUUCUUUCCUACUCGAAUCUUUCCAUUUCAAUUCAGCUACUUUUUUAGACAUGUCCCGUCGAACCAAAUCACACAUGGCUAUUAAAGACACUAAAGUAAUAAACACUAAAAUAAAAUUUCAAGAAACAAUCGAAAGUCCUUAAGGAUAAUAAUAGAGGCUAUCAAACCUCAACAGUCUCACACUGUAAGGAAGCAAGGAUCCAUUUUCUCACUUUCCUUAUUAGUCGCAUAGCACAUGUGGUGUGAAUCAUAUGCUACGAUGUUUACUCUUUUCUUAGAGUAUAUAUCAUUUUCUAAAAGAAACACUAUACAAACUUAAAUUCAAAUACACUUCAAUGCCUAACCUGAAUUCUCUAAAUGUAAUAUUUUAUCUACUAUUGUAAUGCAUAUUUGAUACGUAAAUAGAUGGAUGUUGUUUUUCAUAUAUGAAAUUUCAUUGGCAUGCAACCUUAAAUUUGAACACAUAUGUUGUAUUUAUUAUUAAUUUUGGUAUAUACUUAUUUCAAGUAGGAGUUCUAGAUGACUUGAAUACUUGUAAUGUUUUUCAUCUAGAAUGGAUAUUUUGCCAUAAUAAAAACUAAGUUUAUGAUAAUUGAAUAUUAAGAUAACGGAUGAUGAUUGAAACAUAGUAAAUUUUCGACUCUAUAUCUUGUGUUAAAUUAUCAUAGAUUUAUUAUGCAUUAUUGGCAAAAUCAAAUGUGUACUAUGUUUGGGUAUUGACAUUAUACAUGUAUGCCUUUGUACUAAAUUUUUCAUGACAUCAAAAAAUAUUAUUGUUGACCUGAAUAAAGAUGAAAAGCUGAAUGGUGACAAUUAUAAUUGCUGCGGCCAUGAGUCAAAGGGUCAAAUAGCUCAGAUGGUUGGAUUAACUCCGUAUCCGCAUACAUGAGGUAUUGUCCGNNN
rnacentral:lncRNA from 1 species